rnacentral:rRNA from 1 species
GAGUUUGAUCCUGGCUCAGAUUGAACGCUGGCGGCAUGCUUUACACAUGCAAGUCGAACGGCAGCGCGGGGCAACCUGGCGGCGAGUGGCGAACGGGUGAGUAAUACAUCGGAACGUACCCAGAAGUGGGGGAUAACGUAGCGAAAGUUACGCUAAUACCGCAUACGUUCUACGGAAGAAAGUGGGGGACCGCAAGGCCUCAUGCUUUUGGAGCGGCCGAUGUCUGAUUAGCUAGUUGGUGAGGUAAAGGCUCACCAAGGCGACGAUCAGUAGCUGGUCUGAGAGGACGACCAGCCACACUGGGACUGAGACACGGCCCAGACUCCUACGGGAGGCAGCAGUGGGGAAUUUUGGACAAUGGGCGCAAGCCUGAUCCAGCAAUGCCGCGUGAGUGAAGAAGGCCUUCGGGUUGUAAAGCUCUUUUGUCAGGGAAGAAACGGCCGGGGUUAAUACCCUUGGCUAAUGACGGUACCUGAAGAAUAAGCACCGGCUAACUACGUGCCAGCAGCCGCGGUAAUACGUAGGGUGCAAGCGUUAAUCGGAAUUACUGGGCGUAAAGCGUGCGCAGGCGGUUUUGUAAGUCUGACGUGAAAUCCCCGGGCUCAACCUGGGAAUUGCGUUGGAGACUGCAAGGCUGGAGUCUGGCAGAGGGGGGUAGAAUUCCACGUGUAGCAGUGAAAUGCGUAGAGAUGUGGAGGAACACCGAUGGCGAAGGCAGCCCCCUGGGUCAAGACUGACGCUCAUGCACGAAAGCGUGGGGAGCAAACAGGAUU